UACGAACUGUGCAAACGUUAUUCGGAAUCACUGGGCUUAAAGGGUGCGUAGGCGGCUUGUUAAGUAGGGUGUGAAAGCCCCCGGCUCAACCGGGGAAUUGCGCCCUAAACUGGCGAGCUGGAGUGGGAUAGGGGUAUACGGAACUUCCGGUGGAGCGGUGAAAUGUGUUGAUAUCGGAAGGAACGCCGGUGGCGAAAGCGGUAUACUGGGUCUCAACUGACGCUGAGGCACGAAAGCUAGGGGAGCAAACAGG
rnacentral:rRNA from 1 species